CGGGCAAGGAGAGGCAAACGUAGGGCCUCCGGGCGCAGCCGUGGUGCUGGAGGCAGACGAGGAGACGCGCGCGGGGGGGCGGGAGACAAAGAGGAGCUGGAGUCCUCAGCUUCCCCCCCCCUCCCUCGCCCCUGCCCCGCCUCUCCUGCUGUUGCUGCUGCUGCUGCUGCUCGGUUGUCAGCAUUCCCCGGCCCGAGCCCAGUGAUUGGUCGGGUGGCUCUCCGGCUGCUAGACAAGAGGAGGCCGGAGCGGGGAGGGUUACUGGGAGCGCAAGAUUAUUGCAGACUAAGCAGUCUGGCUCUGCAGCAGCAGCAGCAGCAAAGGGGCGAGGAGGAUCAUGUAGAAAAGACAGAAGGGGAGAAAGUGCUUUUGUCUAGCAUUCUGUUCGAGCUGCAGACAAAAAGUGCAGUCUAA
rnacentral:lncRNA from 1 species